rnacentral:rRNA from 1 species
CAGCAGCCGCGGGAAAACGUAAGUGGCAAGCGUUGUCCGGAAUUAUUGGGCGUAAAGGGCUCGCAGGCGGUUUCUUAAGUCUGAUGUGAAAGCCCCCGGCUCAACCGGGGAGGGUCAUUGGAAACUGGGAAACUUGAGUGCAGAAGAGGAGAGUGGAAUUCCACGUGUAGCGGUGAAAUGCGUAGAGAUGUGGAGGAACACCAGUGGCGAAGGCGACUCUCUGGUCUGUAACUGACGCUAAGGAGCGAAAGCGUGGGGAGCGAACAGGAUUAGAUACCCGGGUAGUCCCUGUCUCUUAUAC